rnacentral:rRNA from 1 species
AGUGAACGCUGGCGGUAGGCCUAACACAUGCAAGUCGAACGGCAGCACAGUAAGAGCUUGCUCUUACGGGUGGCGAGUGGCGGACGGAUGAGGAAUACAUCGGAAUCUACUUUUUCGUGGGGGAUAACGUAGGGAAACUUACGCUAAUACCGCAUACGACCUACGGGUGAAAGCAGGGGAUCUUCGGACCUUGCGCGAUUGAAUGAGCCGAUGUCGGAUUAGCUAGUUGGCGGGGUAAAGGCCCACCAAGGCGACGAUCCGUAGCUGGUCUGAGAGGAUGAUCAGCCACACUGGAACUGAGACACGGUCCAGACUCCUACAGGAGGCAGCAGUGGGGAAUAUUGGACAAUGGGCGCAAGCCUGAUCCAGCCAUACCGCGUGGGUGAAGAAGGCCUUCGGGUUGUAAAGCCCUUUUGUUGGGAAAGAAAAGCAGCAGGUUAAUACCCCGCUGUUCUGACGGUACCCAAAGAAUAAGCACCGGCUAACUUCGUG